AUUGACAAUGGAGCCCAAGCCUUUAGCAUCCUUUCUUCUAUCCUUUUAGAGAGAGAGAGAGAGAGAGAGAGAGAGAGAGAGAGAGAGAGAGCUGUGAUCUCCUCCGGCGAACUUCCGGCAAACCUCCGGUGCUGAACCUUGUAGUCGUAGUUGCAAGUUUUCUUCGCCUCAUCUUAUCACUCUUCCAAAGUAAUCAUCUAUGCCUUUGAUAACCAAGCCAUUUAACUUUAUUGUUUUCUUCUUCUCCAUUUACUUCUUCUUCUUUCUAUUAUUGGUGGUGGUGGUUGCUAGCUCUAGAGGUUUUGGAGCUUGGAUUUCAUAUGGUUUCUCCUUUCACCUCUCUUCACUUCUCUCUUUUCCGACCAUCGAAAUCAAAAGUGAUAGAUCGGCGUGGAUCUUGAAAGACUGCCUGUAGAUGUUGCUUGUCUUGUUGUGAAAUUGUAGUUCUUGUCAUUGUCUAUCACUAUGUUCCUGUAUUUUAUAUUUCUGGACUUCUUGUAUCUUUCCAUUGUAUACACUGUAAAGUCUGUAAUCUUGUAACCUAGUUGGUUUGUUAUAGUUUUGUUUGUCCUAAACCAGGUCCUGAGGUCUCGCAGGUCUACUUGGUUCACGCCCUCUAGAUCUACGGCUGUUUGUCUGCGCACCGGGUCCGGCGAGCCGGGUUUGGGGCGUGACAGUUGGCACUGAAGAGAUGCCUAUCUCAGAUGCCCCCAUCCAACGAUUGAAAAUUUGAUUCAGAGAUCACAACGGAUAGUGUACAUUGGUCUAGAUCCCUUAUAAGACAAAGGGUUGUCUUUUCAUCUCGAGGAGGGAUUCUUUGCGUUAGCCUGCAGGCAAGUGAGGUUGAUGAACACCAGCAAACAAUAGUGGGAAGAGUGGUUGAGCACUUGGAUUGGGGGCUGGGAACUGACGACGAACCUGACCAAGAGAAGGAGAACUCCACUGACUCUGAUGAGGAUCUAGUAGAAGUUGAAGAAACGGAUGAUUUGCUCACUUUUGGGCAAGUUCAAGAUAAUAUGAGAAAAGAAUCUCUAGCAUGCAAAAGAUCUAGCCUUGGCUAAUACUGGCCACAAAAAAGGAAGAAAAGACGCCAACAUUGGCGGGGCAUAAUUGCUAGUUUUUCUUAAUCUCUUAUUGAUAUUUAUUUUCUCAGUUGGGUUCUUUUUAUUCCUAUGUUUUUUUAAUGAAUACAAUUAACAUUAUGUGUUGGAAUUAUAGGGGGGUUACUGGCUUGGAUACUCAGAAUUAGAUCCGAUGGCUUAUUUAUAGACAUAAACUCCACCUAGUUUGUCUAGUUGAAUCUAGAGCUGACAAUUCUCAUCUUGAUCAUUAUUCCAAUAGGUUUGAUGCAAUUUGGAGAUGGGCGGCUAUUGAAGCAGAUGGAUACUCUGGUGGGAUCAUCUGCCUAUGGCGUAAGAAGCUUGGGUGUAUCACUCCAAUUGCGAAAUCAAACU